UUGCAUUCUGGGCAGUAUUUACACUUGCCUUUCUGAAUAACAGAAAUAACAUAUUACCAAUUGUUUAGAACAAGUAUAGAGACUGUAAAUGUUAUGGCAUUCAUCAACAACUGGACAAUCACAGAAACCCUAAAAAGGUUGAUUCAUGAAGCCUAAUCUCGAUCAUCUGUAUACAAAUAGGAAAUCAAAAGCUCCACGUCAUCCGCUGGAUCGUGAAUUCCACCAGUUUGAUAGGAAAUUUCGUUGUUCCAGCGUAUUAACUCUCCCGGUAAUGAAAUUGAACGCCCUUAUUUACACAGAUUAUUGUAGGUGGACCGUUAGCUAUGCAAACACAGAGAAGAUUUCAACGGCUCAAUCGUAGGAUCAUUGCACGCUUUGUCGUUGUACAGGCCACUCCUGAAAUACUUUUGAAGUAGUAGAAGGAAUUGACGACUGUAACGCCAACAGCAAGAGGGCCGUGCAUUUCCAGAGAUAUUUGCUUGGCCGAGGCAUUUUUAGACUGACUUUAAUUUUAUGAAAUGAGCUUGGCUCCAAUCGUGCACGUGCAUUACGGGCAAUAUCUACAGAUGACCAGCACUUGGUUGAUACAAUGAACGUUUAUAAGCAAGACCUUCAUUGUUUGCUUCUCUUCACAUACUGUACAACUUGGAUGUGGCAUGCAGUACAGGUGCCCCUUAAGUCAGUACGGUUGAGUUGCUUCGCAAAUCGCGUCCUAAAUAUUCAGGUAAUAACAAUUCAUUUUAUUCGUGUGUAGUUU